rnacentral:sRNA from 1 species
AUAAAUAGAUGCAUAAAGAAAUUUCCCUCAGACUGUAGGUAUCUGUGAAAGUGCCCAAAUCUAACGCGCAUGAUGGCAUAAGAAAAGCAUGUGGUUAA